GACGUAGGAUGCAAGCGUUGUCCGGAUUUAUUGGGCGUAAAGAGUUCGUAGGUGGUUUGUUAAGUCUGAUGUUAAAGACUGGGGCUCAACCUCGGAAAUGCAUUGGAUACUGGCAGACUCGAGUGCAGUAGAGGCAAGUGGAAUUCCGGGUGUAGUGGUGAAAUGCGUAGAGAUCCGGAGGAACACCAGUGGCGAAGGCGACACGCUGGGCCGUACCUGACACUGAUGCGCGACAGCAUGGGGAGCAAACGGG
rnacentral:rRNA from 1 species